CCUACGGGAGGCAGCAGUGAGGAAUAUUGGUCAAUGGACGAGAGUCUGAACCAGCCAAGUAGCGUGAAGGAUGACUGCCCUAUGGGUUGUAAACUUCUUUUAUAUGGGAAUAAAAUGUUCCACGUGUGGGAUUUUGUAUGUACCAUAUGAAUAAGGAUCGGCUAACUCCGUGCCAGCAGCCGCGGUAAUACGGAGGAUCCGAGCGUUAUCCGGAUUUAUUGGGUUUAAAGGGAGCGUAGGUGGAUUGUUAAGUCAGUUGUGAAAGUUUGCGGCUCAACCGUAAAAUUGCAGUUGAAACUGGCAGUCGUGAGUACAGUAGAGGUGGGCGGAAUUCGUGGUGUAGCGGUGAAAUGCUUAGAUAGCACGAAGAACUCCGAUUGCGAAGGCAGCUCACUGGACUGCAACUGACACUGAGGCUCGAAAGUGUGGGUAUCAAACAGGAUUAGAUACCCCAGUAGUC
rnacentral:rRNA from 1 species